GCCUGUUCGAGCGUCAUUAAUAUCUCAAGUAUUUGCUUGGUCUUGAUAGUACAUUCGGUAUUGUCGAAAUAUAGCGGCGGCGUAGCUGUGACCUAGCGUAGUGACUUUUCAUCGCUCGGUUUACAGUCGUUCGUUUGCCAGACAACAACCCUUUUCAAUGAUUUGACCUCGGAUCAGGUAGGAUUACCCGCUGAACUUAA
rnacentral:misc_RNA from 1 species